GCCGGAGUGGCGAAAUCGGUAGACGCAGCAGACUCAAAAUCUGCCGAGGGAAACCUCGUACCGGUUCGAUUCCGGUCUCCGGCACCA
rnacentral:tRNA from 1 species